rnacentral:rRNA from 1 species
UACAGAGGGGGCAAGCGUUGCUCGGAAUCACUGGGCGUAAAGGGCGCGUAGGCGGGCCGGCAAGUCGGUCGUGAAAUCUCUCGGCUCAACCGAGAAACGUCGGCCGAUACUGCCGUUCUUGAGGGGUGCAGAGGAGACUGGAAUUCCCGGUGUAGCGGUGAAAUGUGUAGAGAUCGGGAGGAACACCGGUGGCGAAGGCGGGUCUCUGGGCAUUUCCUGACGCUGAGGCGCGAAAGCGUGGGGAGCAAACGGG